rnacentral:rRNA from 1 species
AACGAACGCUGGCGGCAUGCCUAACACAUGCAAGUCGAACGAGACCUUCGGGUCUAGUGGCGCACGGGUGCGUAACGCGUGGGAACCUGCCUUUAGGUUCGGAAUAACUCAGAGAAAUUUGAGCUAAUACCGGAUGAUGUCUUCGGACCAAAGAUUUAUCGCCUUUAGAUGGGCCCGCGUUGGAUUAGCUAGUUGGUGGGGUAAAGGCCUACCAAGGCGACGAUCCAUAGCUGGUCUGAGAGGAUGAUCAGCCACACUGGGACUGAGACACGGCCCAGACUCCUACGGGAGGCAGCAGUGGGGAAUAUUGGACAAUGGGCGAAAGCCUGAUCCAGCAAUGCCGCGUGAGUGGUGAAGGCCUUAGGGUUAUAAAGCUCUUUUACCCGAGAUGAUAAUGACAGUAUCGGGAGAAUAAGCGCCGGCUAACUCCGUG